GACGAACGCUGGCGGCGUGCUUAACACAUGCAAGUCGAACGGGCCUGUCUUCUUUUUUGGGGGGUGGGUUGAGUGGCGAACGGGUGAGUAUCACGUGAGUAACCUGCCCUUCGGUCCUGGAUAACCGCUUGAAAGGGCGGCUAAUACGGGGUGGUCCGGUUGGUCCGCAUGGGCUGGUCGGGAUAGAUUCACUGUUUUUGGUGUUUCGGCGGGGGAUGGGCUCGCGGCCUAUCAGCUUGUUGGUGGGGUGAUGGCCUACCAAGGCGGUGACGGGUAGCCGGCCUGAGAGGGUGGGCGGCCACACUGGGACUGAGAUACGGCCCAGGCUCCUGCGGGAGGCAGCAGUGGGGGGUAUUGCACAAUGGGCGGAAGCCUGAUGCAGCGACGUCGCGUGAGGGAUGGAGGCCUUCGGGUUGUGAACCUCUGUUUCCGGUGGUGAAGGCCCUGUCCGUGUGGUGGGGUUGACGGUAGCCGGGGAUGAAGCGCCGGCUAACUACGUG
rnacentral:rRNA from 1 species